UGGCGCACGGGUGAGUAAUGUAUAGUUAAUCUGCCCUACACUGGAGGACAACAGUUAGAAAUGACUGCUAAUACUCCAUACUCCUUCUUAACACAAGUUAAGUUGGGAAAGUUUUUUCGGUGUAGGAUGAGACUAUAUUGUAUCAGCUAGUUGGUGAGGUAAUGGCUCACCAAGGCUAUGACGCAUAACUGGUCUGAGAGGAUGAUCAGUCACACUGGAACUGAGACACGGUCCAGACUCCUACGGGAGGCAGCAGUAGGGAAUAUUGCUCAAUGGGGGAAACCCUGAAGCAGCAACGCCGCGUGGAGGAUGACACUUUUAGGAGCGUAAACUCCUUUUCUUAGGGAAGAAAUUUGACGGUACCUAAGGAAUAAGCACCGGCUAACUCCGUGCCAGCAGCCGCGGUAAUACGGAGGGUGCAAGCGUUACUCGGAAUCACUGGGCGUAAAGGACGCGUAGGCGGAUUAUCAAGUCUUUUGUGAAAUCUAAUGGCUCAACCAUUAAACUGCUUGAGAAACUGAUAAUCUAGAGUGAGGGAGAGGCAGAUGGAAUUGGUGGUGUAGGGGUAAAAUCCGUAGAGAUCACCAGGAAUACCCAUUGCGAAGGCGAUCUGCUAGAACUCAACUGACGCUAAUGCGUGAAAGCGUGGGGAGCAAACAGGAUUAGAUACCCUGGUAGUCCACGCCCUAAACGAUGUAUACUAGUUGUUGCUAUGCUAGUCAUGGCAGUAAUGCACCUAACGGAUUAAGUAUACCGCCUGGGGAGUACGGUCGCAAGAUUAAAACUCAAAGGAAUAGACGGGGACCCGCACAAGCGGUGGAGCAUGUGGUUUAAUUCGAAGAUACGCGAAGAACCUUACCUGGGCUUGAUAUCCUAAGAACCUUGUAGAGAUACGAGGGUGCUAGCUUGCUAGAACUUAGUGACAGGUGCUGCACGGCUGUCGUCAGCUCGUGUCGUGAGAUGUUCGGUUAAGUCCGGCAACGAGCGCAACCCACGUAUUUAGUUGCUAACAGUUUGGCUGAGCACUCUAAAUAUACUGCCUUCGUAAGGAGGAGGAAGGUGUGGACGACGUCAAGUCAUCAUGGCCCUUA
rnacentral:rRNA from 1 species